rnacentral:rRNA from 1 species
UACGUAGGUGGCAAGCGUUGUCCGGAUUUACUGGGCGUAAAGAGCGCGCAGGCGGUCGUUUAAGUCGAAUGUGAAAGCCCCCGGCUCAACUGGGGAGGGUCAUUCGAUACUGAUCGACUUGAAGGCAGGAGAGGGAAGUGGAAUUCCGGGUGUAGUGGUGAAAUGCGUAGAUAUCCGGAGGAACACCAGUGGCGAAGGCGACUUCCUGGCCUGUUCUUGACGCUGAGGCGCGAAAGCUGGGGGAGCGAACAGG